AUGGCGGAGGGUGCCGGCGCCAAGGAGAAAGAGGGGGAGAAUGGCACCGGCGACGAGAGGGCAAACAAGAAGCAGCAGAAGAAGAAAGAAGACGGCGACGGUGGGAAGAAGAAAGAAGCGGCGCCCGUGGUGCUCGGGGUGGACCUGCACUGCGACGGCUGCGCCCGCAAGGUCGUCAAGGCCGUCAAGGCGGCGCAGGGUGUGGAGGGCGUUGCGGCGGACGUGGCCGCCGGCAUGGUGACGGUGAGCGGCAAGGCCGUCGACCCCUGGGACAUCAAGGACCGCGUCGAGGCCAGGACGCACAAGCCCGUCGCGUUCGUGUCCCCGCCCAACCCACCCAACCCCAAGAAGAAGAAGGACGGCGGCGACACCACCGCCGACGGCAAGAAGGGUCAGGCCGGCGACGGCAAUGGCGCCAAGGCCGCCGGCGAUGACAAGAAGAAGAGCAACAACAACAAGGAGGGUCCGGAGUCGACGGUGGUGGUGAAGAUCGGGCUCCACUGCAACGGCUGCAUUGACCGGAUCAGGCGGACCGCGCACAAGAUCAAAGGCGUGAAGGAGGUGAAGGUGGACACGGCCAAGGAGCACGUGACGGUGCAGGGCACCAUGGACGCCAAGGCCCUCCCCGACCUGCUCCGGCGCAAGCUCCGGAGGGACGUCGACGUCGUGCCCCCGCCAGCGCCCAAGAACAAGGACGGCGGCGACAAGAAGAAGCAGCAGCAGAAGGACGGCGGCGAGGGGGCCGACAAGGUCGCCGGGGAGCAGCAGCAGCAGCAGGGACAAGGAGGCGGCGGUGGCAAGAAGAAGAACAAGAACAAGAACAGGCAGGAGGAGGGCGGGGAGGAGGCCGGCGGCGCUGCGGGGGUGGCGGAGCAGGCGUUCCCUAUGGCGAUGAUGUACGGCGGCGUGGGCGGCGGAGGAGGGGGAGUGGUAGCAGGGGGCUGGACGACGUCGUACCGGGUGGAGAUGCUGCACGCGCCGCAGCUGUUCAGCGACGAGAACCCCAACGCCUGCGCCGUCAUGUGA
rnacentral:rRNA from 1 species